rnacentral:sRNA from 1 species
UUUAUGGUAAAACGGUCCUUUCACUAGUAAAAAAUAGGCUUUUAAACUCGCCUAAUAGGCUUCGGUUAAAGGAAAACCGAAGCAUAUACAUAAGCGGUGGCAAACUUGUAAUUUAGACGAACUUAUAUACUCCGGUUCUGAAAAAACUGGUGUUGAAAUAAGUUUAUGCCUCGGUUAAAAUAGGAUCGAGGCCUAAUACUAUGUGUUUUGGCCUGAUACGCUUCGGUUCUAAAAAGAAGUGGUGUUGAAAUAGGUUUAUGCUUCGGUUAAAAUAGGACCGAGGCCUAAAAUUUCACGACUUUUUUACCUGAACUACACUGCUGCUCUCAAAACCUACCUUUCUCUCAAACUCUACCUUUCUCUCAAACCCUACCUUUCUCUCAAACCCUGCUCACUUCUUCGCCACCUACCUUUCCCACAACUAAACCACACCACUGCCAACCCCAAAUCUGGUGGCGGAACUUGGAGAGGCAGACCCUGCAGUCGGCGGUGGCAGAGGAAGAGCGGCGCAUGACGAACAGGGGGGGAUGACGCGACAGAGGACGAGGAGAAACGGCGGAGGAAGCGUCGAUUGAGGUGGCGGGGGAGGAAGCGAACGGCGCGGGGACGAACGACGCGACAGAGGAGGAGAAGAAACGGCGGAGGAAGCAUCGAUUGAGGUGGCGGGGAAGGAAGCGAAUGACGGGGACGAACGGCGCGACAGAGGAGGAGGAGAAACGAUGGAGGCAGCGUCAUUGAGGGCCGGAGGAGGUAGCGAGAACGCGACGAGGCCGCAGCGAGACCGUAGUGAGGUCGCGGUGAGGUCGCGGUGAGGUGGUGGCGAGUAGCGGCAAGGGCGUCCUGCAGCGGUGGCAGCGGUGGCAUUGGCGAGGCACGAAGAGGUGGCGGCGAGGUGGUGGCGAAGUCGCGGUCCUACAGCAGUGGCAUCUCUGCAUUGCAGCGGUGGCGUUUCUGCAGCGUUGGCGAAGUCACGAAGAGGGGAGGCAUCAACCUUCAUCUUUUCUUUUCUCUGUUCUGGUUUGGGCUUGCAGGAGCAUCCGUUCUUCCCCCAAAUCGUUCUCAGAGUUGGUGAUGACAACCUCCGCCAACUAAACCCAAAUCGUUCUCAUUGCUUCAAAACCCAAAUCGUUCUCAAUUGAUUCUUACAAGUGUUAUUUUUUUUCUUUGUUAUUUUGGGAGUGAUUUUGUUAAGGCUGGACUGGGAAAGUGAUUGAAUCACGUUGGACCAAAAUAAUUGCUUCUUGUUGAACCACGACUGGGAAAGUAAUUGCUUCUUGUUGAUAUUCGCGAUUUGGUUUUGUGAAUCUGCGAUUUGGUUUUGUGAAAGGAAAGGAAAAAAUAACCCUUUUGCUUCUGUGCAACCAAAAUAAUCCAAAUGCAUACAAAAAACCAAAAUAAUCCUGCAUACAAAAAAACACGCAAUUGCCUCGGUUAUCAAGAACCGAGGCAUAAUCCUCUCUCGUAUUACCCCGGUUCAGAACCAAGGUAUAAACCUGCUUCUUUUUACCUCGUCC